rnacentral:snRNA from 1 species
AGAUGUGAGGGAAACCAGUUUGUGACAUCUAAAAAAACCCAUUGGUGGGCUGGGUUUAUCAGCUGAUCUGGCUAGCUAGGUGGGUUUCCCCAUCAUCCCUCACUACCCCAUGUAUGUCCCUUCUGAGGCUGCUUGUUUGGUCUCCAACUAAAAGCAGACUUGUCUUCCAUUGAGGGUAUCUGAGUACCUGUGCUUGACUACUAGAAACUCUAAACAAGCCCUUCAGGUCCAGAAGAGACCUAUGCAGCCCUCAGCCCAGAACCUUGAAGCUGAGGUGUCAGGGCCUG